GUGGGGAAUAUUGGACAAUGGGCGCAAGCCUGAUCCAGCCAUGCCGCGUGAGUGAUGAAGGCCUUAGGGUUGUAAAGCUCUUUCAGUGGGGACGAUAAUGACGGUACCCACAGAAGAAGCCCCGGCUAACUUCGUGCCAGCAGCCGCGGUAAUACGAAGGGGGCUAGCGUUGUUCGGAUUUACUGGGAGUAAAGCGCACGUAGGCGGAUCGUUAAGUCGGGGGUGAAAUCCUGGAGCUCAACUCCAGAACUGCCUUCGAUACUGGCGAUCUUGAGUCCGGAAGAGGUGAGUGGAACUCCUAGUGUAGAGGUGGAAUUCGUAGAUAUUAGGAAGAAGACCAGUGGCGAAGGCGGCUCACUGGUCCGGUACUGACGCUGAGGUGCGAAAGCGUGGGGAGCAAACAGGAUUAGAAACCCUGGUAGUCC
rnacentral:rRNA from 1 species